GGUAGCUGUUAUCCAGCCCUGUAUAGGAAGCUCUCCACCUCUUCCUCCUGCCUGCUUGGUACUCAGUCAGGUACUUCUGCCUUGUCCUGGCUCCUGCUUGCCAGUCUGGCUUUUUUCUGGAUGUGUGCCAGUGGUGACUUUUAGUGGAAAUGAUUACUCUCUACCGGAGCAAAGCAAACUUGGGAGGUGCUGGCUCUGGCUCCCAAGUGACUGGAGCCUGUCCCCUGGCCUUGCCCUGUGUCUUCUGGCAUGGAUUCCUGGCCACCCUUUCACCCUUGGCACAUUUCCUCUAAGCCAGUAAUUCCACCUGGGUGAGGAUUACACAUCAGCUCCUUCCUAGGAACUUUGAGGUCAGGAGAAUGCGUGCCAUGGGAGCCAUUCCUAGGUAACCCCUGUCUUUCCAUGGGAACCGUGCAGUUCUCUUGCAGUCCUGUGGGUGUUUGGGGCAUGGAACAUGCUCACAAUGGGCAAGGAUUUACACUGCCUUUGUUUCUAGAGCUCUCUCACUUUUAUUUUUUUAUUUUUGAGAUAGGAGCUCACCAUGUAACCCAGGCUGGCCUAGAACUUGCUAUGUCUCUUAGGCUGAUCUGAAACUCAUAAUAUUCCACCCUUAUCCCGCCCCCCCCUCCCCCACGAGCUGGGAUUAUAGGUAUGAGUCAUCCUACCGUGUUACUACUGUAGUUGGAGGCUAGCCUGGUCUACCUAUGAGUUCCAGCCCAGCUAGAGCUACAUAUUGACAGCCAUCUCCAAAACAAACAAAAAGACAAAGAAAGACAAUCUCUAAGACUGGAUUUUUGCUUCUCUCUUUCACAAGCUAAAACUUAUUUUCCACCCGGACCCUCCUCUUUUUCAUUGGUUUAUUUGGGCAUUACAAACUUUAGCACCUGAGAAGAAUUUAGGGACCUCUCUCUAACCCUUUCUUCUCAGAACUAAAAGUUUAGUUCACUGGAGGCUGCCUGGCUGCAGGCUGGCCACUGCUUCUGGUUUCUUCACACACUGCUAAGAAGGGGCAGCCCUGCAAUCCCAGAAAUUAGCAUGCCGGUGACAUCACUGGAGGCCCAUUUUUUUAUUUAAAGGGAGAGAGAAAAAGAGAAAGGGCAGAAGAGGAGGAGGAGGAGGAAAGAGAAAGGGAAAGGAGAGAUGAAAGGGGAAGGAGAAAAGAGAAGAGGAACUUGGCUGGCCAGGAAGACAGGAGUGUGUGUGUGUGGGGGGGGGGCUUUCUCCCAGUCUUCCUCCCUCUCUCUGGGGAGGCCUUUGAGCUGGACUUUUCCUUCUUUUUAAAGACAGGAUCUCACUAUGUAGCCCUGGAAUUGCUACCUAGACCAGGCUGGCCUUGAACUCACAAAGAUCCACCUGUCUCUGGCUCCUGAGUGCUGGAAUGAAAGGUGUGUCACCAUCUGAGGAGGGCUAGAGCUCUAAGUGAGGGUGCAAAAGUGAGGGGGAGAGAAAGCAGCAGA
rnacentral:lncRNA from 1 species